GAUUGUUUAUUUCUAUUUUGCUCUUCCAGGCUUGUUGCGGUGGAGAAAGCCCUUGCUUCAGUGAUCCUGACAUGAGUUCUGGUCCUUUCCCACGGGCCAUAACCUUGGGGUUCUGGCUGGCCGUGCAAAGUAGGCAGGAUUAGUGCAUCUUUGCAAGCCCAAACUCGCAGCUCGAACCGAUCCUUCCACUUGCUGCACACAAGACCAGAUUUUUGUUCUAAAUUAAAUUCUUCUUCUCCUCAUCCUUAUUGCCAGCUGAGCCGAUCACUGUAGUUUUUUCAGGGGUAUCCGGAUUGUGUCAAUGCAGUGUGGUGUGUGACCAAUGUGUCUCUUUUAGCUGAGAGUAACUUUGUUUUGAACAAUGGGAUCCUACCUCUGAAGGGUUUUUUUUUUUUUUAUGCUCUUUAAUACAGAGAGAGAGAGAGAGCAGGACUAUUAUUAAAUAGAAUACCUGUGUGAAUAUGUGUGUGUAUGCAUGCAUUAGCUCUGUGUGUGUAAAACAUGUCAAGUCUAAUUUACAUAAAUGUAUCAACAUAAUAUUUUUAUAAUAUAACUUUUAAACCAAGAUGUUGACUACGGUUGCCAUUUUGCCAGCAAUACUGUAUGUAUUUUACUUUUGAAUUAUGUACAGUCAGACACCUGUUACUUAAUCCUGUUUAUCUUUGUCAGUUAUUGUUAUCCAACCUUAGUCAUCAUUUUAUCUCUGAAAAUAAAAUACAAAUAUGGUUCUUCUAAAAAUGAUGCUAUGCUGGUAUACAGUAAGAACAGGAGAGACUAAUGGAGAUCUCAAGUAAUAUUUUUCCAAAGAGAGUAAUUCUGGAAAAUACCUGGAAAAAAAAAUCUUUCUCUCAGAGAGAGGAAAGCACCUAGAGGGAAAAGAGAUAAAGACAGAAGAAAGGGUAAAGAGAGAAAUUCCAUAUCGGCUUCCCUUACAAAUGCAGGAAAGACGAACCUAUUUGCUGUGUAUCUCAUUGUUAUAUACCACCCAAAAUCCAGUCGCUAGCUGUACCCUUCUGCUUCCAUCUUUUUUAAAUAAAUGACCAGUUCUUUUGA